rnacentral:rRNA from 1 species
CACGUAGGGUGCGAGCGUUGUCCGGAAUUAUUGGGCGUAAAGAGCUCGUAGGCGGUGUGUCACGUCGGCCGUGAAAACCUGCAGCUUAACUGUGGGCGUGCGGUCGAUACGGGCAUCACUGGAGUUCGGCAGGGGAGACUGGAAUUCCUGGUGUAGCGGUGAAAUGCGCAGAUAUCAGGAGGAACACCGGUGGCGAAGGCGGCAUCCUGGACCGGCAUUGACGCUGAGGAGCGAAAGCUAGGGGAGCAAACGGG